UGAUUUUGUUUCUUUAUGCUGAAGGCUGUUUCAUGUGGGUGCGAAAUUUAUGAAGUCUGCUUUUGGAGGGCAUGAGGGUUUUAAUUCGUAUGUCAGCUCAUAUUUCCAUAAAAUAAGUGACCUGUUGAUUUUGACUCGAGCAAACACCUUUUCGUCUAAAGCAGUUUAGACAGGAGAGCAAAAAUGUAACCAGCUGGUUUCCUAUCUCAUCGGCACAGAACACAAAGUUGCAGGUUUAGUUCUUGAACUGGGUGAGAUGUUUUUAACCAGGGCGAAUGGUAGCAAUUCCCCGGGAUCUAGAAAGGACACGACUCUCAUUGUUACUCAGUAACUUUUUCUGGGAAGGGCCAGCGUAGAAGACGACUGUGUUCAGCGGUGAUGCCCAGAAAAGGUACAUUCAAAACGUCGACAGUCCUGAAGAAGGGUUACACCAGAAACGUCAACUUCUCCACCUGCUGCUGCCUGGCUUGUUGUGUUCUCCCAGCCUUCUGCUUGUCAGCACAAUUGAAAAGCAUGUGUUUGCUAUAAUGGGGCUACUUGUCAUUGGGACUGACAUGUAAACUUUGAAAUAGGAGACUGCUAAAAUUCAGAAACCAUUUCGACAAUCACACACUUCAACACCGGCCAGCGUUAAUGUUCAGUGAAGUUUGCUGUAGUCAGUUCUUGUCCAGCCUCCAGUGAAAGAAAAAACGGCUGUGUAUCGGUACCUGUGCCUUCGCUUUAUCCUCUCUGUGGUAAUUCCCAUUCCCCGCAGCAGGCGGCUGUCUGAGCUGAGCACGUGAAGGAGCAGAGCUUGGGAUUUAACCAGCACUUGCCCUGCCUCUUAGCUGACACUAUUAACUGCAGCAGGCGGAAAGCAGUGUCUUCUUCUUCCUGGUGGAAUUCGGGAUCAAGUAACUGGUUCCACUAAUUUCAGAAUCAUUAACUGCUUUGGAGUCAGAAUCAAAACGCUGGCUUUUUCCGGUAUUGAACUUGACCUGACAGGGAGCUGUAUUGCUGAUGCUACAUUCUUCAUAAUGAAAAUGCCAACAGGAAUACCUGCUUUAGUCUAACUACAGUCUAUUCUCGCAAAGGAUUGCUGAGAAUGCGAAAUGUGCCUUUUACAGUGGGAAAGAAAGAUCUGAAAAGAAGAUUUCUCUACAAUGCAUUUAAAAGAAACCUUUGUUUAAGUCUCAUGAUUUGAAACACACAGCGAUUUGUCUCCCUACAAUGGAUUUAAAAUACUUGCAGAUGUUGUGAAGGGAUCUGCUCUGCUAAUCACAGCUCAGCUGAACUCCAUUUCCCUUAUUGCACAAAAGCUGCCUGCUGAACUAGAAGAUAAGAUAUUACAGUUUCACCAGUUUUAUAAUCGGAAAUCGGCAGAAAGAAGGCUACAAGUUAUCAUUCAUUGGAAACAUGGACGGGAUGUCCAUUACUCUCGACAUGCUGGAGAGUCGAAUUGACUCAUUUUGGUUUCUGUUUUUAUCUGGACUUAACUGACGUCCCCAGGCAAGACCAGUGAUACGAAAUGCAGUCCUCCUGAAGGGCAGAGUGCCUGUGAAGAUGGGGGUAGCCUCUAACCAUUUACCCAGAAUUAUGAAGUGAAGCCCAUGACCAAUUUUGGGUUAGCCUUGUGCUAGCUGCUUUGCAUCGUUUGGCCUAGCUGCAUUAAAGCACGAAGUUCUAACUCAAGUUUGAAACAGAAAUGAAUAUUUUCUUAGUUCAUGUUGAGAUACUUGUGACCUUUCCUCAGUAAUGUCAGUUAAUACAGGAAUGUCAGCUUUUUUUAAAAAAAAAAGACCUGUCACGGAUUGUACGUGGCUGCUGGCUAGGCCAGCAUUCAUUGAUCAUCAGCUAUGUGACCUGUUCAUGCACAAGUAAUACUCAAAUUUUGAGUACCUGUGGAAUUGUACUGUGCUUAUAUUCUCACAUCCGUUCACCUUCUGUAAGAUUAAAUAAACAUUAUUCUGUGUGAAAUGCCUGCUGGUUUAGAAAGGCAGAUGUGCUGCCAGUGGCAAUCUCCAGAUGGCUUAUGUGGCACUUCCUCAGACUAUUUUUAACUAUAUGAAAGUGGGAUUUGCGUCUACGUUGAUAUUUUACAACAAAUGUCAGUCUAGUGCCAUUAUAAUCUAAUCAAAUCAAAGCAUUGAUGUGAGACAAAACUAAUUUUGUAGACUCUUGCAUUUAAAGCUAAUGAACAGCAUUUUAAUUAAUUCCGAUCUCUGUCUCUAUAUCCCUCUGGUGUCUGCGGAAAGAAGGACAUAAUCUGAUGUGCACAAAAGAGAAAUACUGGUCAGGGUUGAAAUUGUGUGUUUCUUUUAACUCAGUGCCAUCUCUCAGAAUUUUAAGUUUUAUUUUAUUAAUUAGUUACAUUAAAGUUUGCAGCCUAGAAUUUGUUGACAAAAUAGCAGCAUGUACUGAAAUCAGCCAGUAACUUGUCGUGAGAAAGAAAAACUCCAUGAAUUGGGAAUCAUCACGUGAUCAGUUUCCACUGACUGCUGUUAGUUCUGCAAAAACUGCAUUGUGUCCUGAAGCUCUGGUUUUAAUGGGGUUUUCAUAUUAAUUGCCCUUUAAACUCAUUCUAUAAAGUUAAGCCCAGUGGUUCACAAUGUAGGCAUCUUUUUAAUUAUUUGACUAUUGUUAAUGACUAACUUCCCUGUUGCAAAAAUAAAAAGUUAAAGGUCCGGUGUCAUCUUCUUUAAUUUAAGAAAUGGAGAUUUUAAAAAUAUUAUGUGAACUCACCCUCAAAGCAUUAUUUCACCAUGAGAUUCCCAUGUCCCUUGUUUGAUAUCUCCUUUUACAUCAGGAUUAAAUUUUCUGGUGGUAGAGAAAUAAAAUGAAUGGCCUAAAAAUGAACCAUUAAUCACAUGAUAACCAAAAACAAAGGGGAUUGAAUCUGAUAAAUGUUUGGCUAAACGUGUGUUGCAUCAAUUGUUUUUGGAGAAAUUUUCACUAUGAAGCCCAGUGAGAUUUCGCAAUACAUCUUACCAGAUGUGCCUCAUUAACUACCAAACCCAUCCUUCUGACAUCCCUUGCAUCCAAUUCUAUCCUCCAUUUGUGAGGUACUUUUCCCAGAACAACUUGCCACUCCGAUAUCUGCUGAAAGACUGGCAUUGCUUGCAACUGCGCCAUCAUUUGAGGGGUUGCUGUGCACUGGGUCACGCAUUAACAAGCUGGCAUUGCUCCUCACUGGCAGUGUAUUAACACAGUAGCCACAAAGCCAUAUGUCCAUGGUACAUACCUGGCAUGGCUGGCACUCCCUAGCACAUUACAAACCUUUGGUCUCAUCCUGGUCACUACUUAACCACCAGACUAAAAAUUUGUUUUUAACUGAUCCUUGGAUACAUCCAUCUGAAUAUGCUCUGGAAGUCCCCAGUAUUCUGUCUCCAUUGCCCAUUGGUCACUCACAUCCUGUUGUGAGCAAGCAGUUAGACAACUCCAAAUAUAAGCUUUUAUUGACAGCCAACAAAAGGGAUGUCAAAGAAAACUAAUAUACCUGCAGUUUGCACCCACAAUACAAACAAAAUACUGGCACCUUUACCCUGACAGUCUAUGGUGGCCUUCUGCUUUAUUCUACAAUCAUUAAAUAUUCUUGCUGAACCAUUGUUGGUUCUAUUGUUUAUCACAUUCCUCGAUGCUCUGUUGUCCUUGCGGCACUGUUAUUAACUUACAAUAUAAGGAAUGCUUUAGGGCAAAAGUGUUUAAGCUGAAGGAAACUGCAACAAGCACAACUAACAAGAUACA